rnacentral:tRNA from 1 species
AAUAUAGUGCCUGAUUUAAAAGGAUAGCUUUGAUAGAGCUAAUAAUGUAUUAUUUAUACCUAUAUUA